rnacentral:rRNA from 1 species
CCCUACGGGGCGCACCAGGCUGCUUCUGAUCUUUUCGGCACGAUCAUUAAAGAGUAUCAAAAAGUAAAUGAAGCCCUCUUUGAAACCGCCGUCCGAUUGGUCCGGGAUAAAACAACCGUGAUGAAUGUUCUUUCCGCGACCGGCCACGGGAUGGAACAGAUCACAACCAGCGUGACCAAAACACGACAGGCCAUUUCGGAUGAAUGGACAAAAUGGGAGGCCGACAGAUUAAAAUGGAGCAGCAGUUUCAUCGGUAAAAUCACAACGGCAUUUGGCGGUUCUUAUAGAGUGCCGGAACCCGAUAAAUAUUACACGCAAACUUAUAACGAGAUCACGUCAAACGCUCAGGCGCUUAUUGAAUUAUCUGAGUCAUGGAUCGAAUUGGCGGGGGGGC